AUCUGGAGCCGCGACAACUGGCUCAGGUGAGCUGCGGUUGUGUUUUCAAGCCCUCAGUUCACGGCGGUCAGUUUGGCAGCCAUGAUGAAAUCAUCAUACCAGAGUCUGAAAUGCAGAGAGUCUUUACUUUAGGCCAUAAGGAAGUGAUGCUGAUUCAUACGUACUACAGUAACCUGGCUGAGAUCUUGUCCAGACUGGAGGUCAAAACCACUGCUGAACAACUGACAGACGGCAAGAGGCAUCACACUGGUCAGCUGGCCACAGCAGUGAUCUCAGCGACAGUGCGGGAUGUUCCCAGAGCAGAAAAUAUUCCUGUGUCUGUCCAGUAUACUUU